rnacentral:rRNA from 1 species
CUACGUGCCAGCAGCCGCGGUAAUACGUAGGUGGCAAGCGUUGUCCGGAAUUAUUGGGCGUAAAGCGCGCGCAGGCGGUCUUUUAAGUCUGAUGUGAAAGCCCAUGGCUCAACCAUGGAUGGUCAUUGGAAACUGGGAGACUUGAGUACAGAAGAGGAGAGUGGAAUUCCACGUGUAGCGGUGAAAUGCGUAGAUAUGUGGAGGAACACCAGUGGCGAAGGCGACUCUCUGGUCUGUAACUGACGCUGAGGCGCGAAAGCGUGGGGAGCAAACAGGAUUAGAUACCCUGGUAGUCCACGCCGUAAACGAUGAGUGCUAGGUGUUAGGGGUUUCGAUGCCCUUAGUGCCGAAGUUAACACAUUAAGCACUCCGCCUGGGGAGUACGGCCGCAAGGCUGAAACUCAAAGGAAUUGGACGGGGGGCCCGCACAAGGUGGAGCAUGUGGUUUAAUUCGAAGCAACGCGGAGAACCUUAGCAAGGUCUUGACAUCCCGAUGACCGCUCUGGAGACAGAGUUUUCCCCUUCGGGGGCAUCGGUGACAGGUGGUUGCAUGGUUGUCGUCAGCUCGUGUCGUGAGAUGUUGGGGUUAAGUCCCGCAACGAGCGCAACCCUUGACCUUAGUUGCCAGCAUUCAGUUGGGCACUCUAAGGUGACUGCCGGUGACAAACCGGAGGAAGGUGGGGAUGACGUCAAAUCAUCAUGCCCCUUAUGACCUGGGCUACACACGUGCUACAAUGGAUGGUACAAAGGGAAGCGAAGCCGCGAGGUGGAGCCAAUCCCAUAAAGCCAUUCUCAGUUCGGAUUGCAGGCUGCAACUCGCCUGCAUGAAGCCGGAAUCGCUAGUAAUCGCGGAUCAGCAUGCCGCGGUGAAUACGUUCCCGGGCCUUGUACACACCGCCCGUCACACCACGAGAGUUUGAUCCUGGCUCAGUCGUAACAAGGUAACC